AUGGCCCACCGCCACCACCACCUGAUAAAAAAUUUAUUUCAUAUCCCACGAAGCAACCCUGGCCAAUGUCAGCCAUCAGUGCAAAACCACCCAACUUGGUACCACAUUGUCAGCUAGCACCAUGACUUCUCCCACCUGCACCACCACCAGAACAACCCCUGUCACCACCAAAUACUCCAGAUCAAAACAAACCACCUGGACGAGCAUCCUGCCAACCUGGACCAUCUGUGAAUCCGUACAAAAACAACAAUCUGGAAUGUGACCUUUUCAAACCUGAACCACCAUCUUGGUCCACACCAAGAUCUGCCGAGCCAACACCAGUUUCUGGAUGAACACAACCACCCGGACUUGGACUUGGACCAACAACCAAUCCACAACCUGAGUUUGUUCGACAUGUCACCCCAGAUCAGAGAGUUGUUCUUAUUCCAAAACAAAACUUGUCCUCAAGCAUUCAGUCCUAAUCAUCUUGAGUAUUGUGUGGUCGUUAAUGUGUAAAUGCAAGUUAAGUCAAGCCAAGUCAACUUUAUUUUCAAAUAUGCUACAUCUGCAACAAACAGCACGGAUGAAAUUACAUUCCUCAGGAGAGAGAGAUUCCCAUCCUCACCACCUGCAUCCAGUUCAAAUAAUAAAGAUUAUUUUUCUUCUCAA